rnacentral:lncRNA from 1 species
UUAAUUUAUAUACUUAUAAUUAAUAAAAGUUUCUCGCCUCUUUUGUUGGGUCAUAGUAGAAUGGUUCGGCUGGAUUUUGCCACUUCUUAAAAUCUACUUUUUCUUGAUCCUCGCUCAAACGACUCGGUGGCAGUGGUUCCUCUACUUUCAUGUCAAGUGGUGGUGGUGGUGAUGACAAUACUAUGGGUGACAAUAGAGGGAUUAUGAGUUUCCGAUUCAUAUUGUGGUUAAUUUGCAAUGAAGGUGGAGCACGAUUUUGAAUCGUGCUCCACUGUUGUCGAUGGGUCUCAAAAUUGGAUUUUCUUUUUUUAGCAUUUUCCAUAUAUAUCAAUGACGGCAAAGAGAAAUGGUGAAAGUGAAAAGCAGAGAGUAAGGAAGAGUG